UACAGAGGGUGCGAGCGUUAAUCGGAAUUACUGGGCGUAAAGCGCGCGUAGGCGGCUUUGCAAGUCGGGUGUGAAAUCCCCAGGCUUAACCUGGGAACUGCAGUGGAUACUGGCGAGCUAGAGUGUGAUAGAGGAUGGUGGAAUUCCCGGUGUAGCGGUGAAAUGCGUAGAGAUCGGGGAGGAACACCAGUGGCGAAGGCGGCCAUCUGGAUCAACACUGACGCUGAGGCACGAAAGCGUGGGGAGCAAACAGGG
rnacentral:rRNA from 1 species